UCGGAUAUGAUUGGCUGUCAGCGGGGGUUAAUCCCUGGGCCCGGCCACACCCCAGCAUGUCUCAAUCCACCCCCUGUGAAUCCGGCCGACCGAGCUUUCCGCCCGGAAUCCACUGAAAACGAGGGUGAAAACGCGAGCGGCAAGGAUAUACCGGAUGUUUCCGGAGCGCGGGAUGGGUCGAACUCCUUAAGCGUGAAGGAGAUAAUUUCGGACAGAUGAUAGCGUCAUCGGGCAAGAAAAGCGAUGCUUUACAAAUCGCAAAAUUCAGUAACAAACAG